GACGAACGCUGGCGGCGUGCUUAACACAUGCAAGUCGAACGGAAAGGCCCUGCUUUUGUGGGGUGCUCGAGUGGCGAACGGGUGAGUAACGCGUGAGUAACCUGCCCUUGACUUUGGGAUAACUUCAGGAAACUGAGGCUAAUACCGGAUAGGAGCUCCUGCUGCAUGGUGGGGGUUGGAAAGUUUCGGCGGUUGGGGAUGGACUCGCGGCUUAUCAGCUUGUUGGUGGGGUAGUGGCUUACCAAGGCUUUGACGGGUAGCCGGCCUGAGAGGGUGACCGGCCACAUUGGGACUGAGAUACGGCCCAGACUCCUACGGGAGGCAGCAGUGGGGAAUAUUGCACAAUGGGCGGAAGCCUGAUGCAGCAACGCCGCGUGCGGGAUGACGGCCUUCGGGUUGUAAACCGCUUUCGCCUGUGACGAAGCGUGAGUGACGGUAAUGGGUAAAGAAGCACCGGCUAACUACGUG
rnacentral:rRNA from 1 species